rnacentral:rRNA from 1 species
UACGUAGGGUGCAAGCGUUGUCCGGAAUUAUUGGGCGUAAAGAGCUCGUAGGCGGUUUGUCGCGUCGAAUGUGAAAACCCGGGGCUCAACCCCCGGGCUUGCAUUCGAUACGGGCAGGCUCGAGUUCGGUAGGGGAGACUGGAAUUCCUGGUGUAGCGGUGAAAUGCGCAGAUAUCAGGAGGAACACCGGUGGCGAAGGCGGGUCUCUGGGCCGAUACUGACGCUGAGGAGCGAAAGCGUGGGGAGCGAACAGG